AUGGACCAAUCCAUCCCUUUUUCCCGUGCAUAUGCAUCGGACUCGGAUGACGAUGGUCCCGAUGAAGAAGUUGAUGAGGAGGGGUUCACGCCGAAGGAGGCCCAAGCAUUCAAGAAGGUAUUUGGGCGGGAUCAGAAGACACCAUUGUUCAAGGAUCUUAGUCUCACGGAUGAAGCCAUUGUGGAUGGUGGCAAAUGCAUAUCUCUUGGAGCCAGGCCAAGUUCUCACCGUGAUUUGGAAGACGACAAGAACAGAAAGAGCCCGGAGGAACCACAAACGAUGGCCACCAACACGGAGGCCGCGCUUUCAAGGUCUCCCUAA
rnacentral:rRNA from 1 species